UGUGGGUACCUCUUCCUCCUUCUUCUCCGUGUCAUCCAUGCUGGGUGACACGCUGGCACUCUUAGAUUGGAUGAGAACAGAUCUGGACCAUGUAACAAGAUUGUAUUAUAUUGGGGGUCAUUUGUAAAUACCUAGUACGUAGUUUAGAGUAUAAAAGAUAAGUCCUGCCUCUGCCAGGCAGAUUCUGCCCUGGACAUCUGGCGAGCAGACUGCUGUUCGCUGGACCAAGCAUUCCUGAGAUAAGAAACAAUAAACAACCAAGAAAACCUCUAAGAACAGCCUCCUGCAGUCUCUCAUCGAUGGGCAUUGGAAAGAGCUGGGUUCCAAACCACCUGCAUGUCCUCCAGAGGUGAUCUCAGGUCUAAGGAGACACCUCAGGAUGUGACAUUUGGCGUCCUCUGGGUGGGCUGCAGCCUGCAAAGGUGGGUGCAGACCCCUGGACCCGGAAAACCCAGCUCGAGAAGACGCCAUUGAAAAGGACUGUGGAGGAGAUUUUUGGCCCUCUGCCAAGAAAAGCCGCGGUCCAGACGCGAGUCGGAGAGGAGGUGUCCCGGGAAGCCUCGCUCCUGUGCACUGCUGGUUGGUUUCAGGAACCUCCGAAUCGAUUUUGGACAAAUUGCUUUUGGGACUGUGUUUCACUUGAAGACUCAACAAAUAUUGGACUGAAGACCCCCCAACACUUUUUGAAUCGACUAAGUGAAAAAACUUCAGGACCAAUGCUACAGAGAUUCACUUUUUCACAAGUGUUUGGACCUGAAACAGCACAAGAAGAAUUCUUUGAAGGUACCAUGAACCAACAAGUACAAGAUUUCCUAGAUGGAUAUAAUCGUCUUGUUUUGAAACAUGGUGUUACAAAUUCUGGGAAAACUUACACUUUCCAAGGUGCCCACAGGGAGACAAGAUGAUGCAGAGCUCCACCAGGUGUAUUCACAACACAGAUCACCAGGACCAAGGAUCAUCAGGGCUCUGCCCAACAGGGGUCACUGGGGAUCAUCCAACACCGACCCUCCCAUGGGGAAUGGAGCUGGUGCAGAGCACGAAGCUCUUCCCACACUCGCGGCACUCACAGGGCUUCCCUUAGUGAUGCCUCUGUUGGUGUUGGGUCAGGUCCUAGCAGACUCCCUUAUAAUAAACUGCAACUGUAGCUUUUAGCAUUUACAGAGCGUCUGAGUCUUGUUUCUCGCGUCCACCCUGAUACAAAGAGUCCAGGAGUCGCCCGCAAAUAAGUCUGGAAACCAUGGCAGAAUUGAUUCCUUUGUCAGCAACCGCUUUCACGAUAGCCUGCACAUCCUUCGGGUUUACCGGGAAAUACAUUCUUUGGUUUCCGCCAGCACCCCCCACUCUGACUGGGAAUACUAACUUGGCAGACGGAGCCCACUCUGCACAUGCUAUUUUUAUUUUACGCCAGUCUGUAAGGGGGGGUUCGAUUUGUGUCUGGUGUCCCCCUAACCCAUGCCGGAGGGUUAUAGCUAGUGGUGUUAUAUUUUGCGGCUCCCUUCUUAUGAAAGCUGCAGCCGAUGUCAGGUUCCUCUUCCGACUAUCCCUCCGACCGGCUGUCCCAGCUUUGGUUAGAGUCAGAGCCGGAAGUCGACUGACUGGACGUUUCCGGGCUGCUCAGCCUUUUUCUCGGGCUCCGCCCUCGCCCCUUCCCCCGGGGGCCGGACCGUUCCCUCCCCCUGGGAUCCCCCCGCCUCCUGCUGGGGGAGGUUCUUGCCCUAUAUGGACCUGAUUUAAAAUGAGCUCUGUGAUUGGUCUUACGCUCCGCCUCGGGGGCUGUCCCUUCUUCCUGCUCGUUUGCGCUUGCGCUGUUCAGCGAGCUCUCUGCAUGUCCGCCCCCCGCGUUAGCGCCCUUCCCCCCGCCACGAGGCUUGGCGCUAUUUUUAAAUUUAUAAGGUGGUGGAGAUUUUUUAUCUGCUGCUGCGAGCUCUGAUAUUAUAGCAGCACUCUGUGCCUCCUCCGUUAGCCCCUGCCACAAUGCUCGCGCGCGGUCCCCCGCCUCCGGUGGCGGUGAGUUCGAACUGGGAGGGUGAGGAGGGAGCUCCGGGGACCGCGCGUCUGCGCGGUUGGCUGGGUCCGCGGUUUGAGUAGCCGCCCCGAUCCCCAGCUGCGGCGUGGCGAAUAAACAAGUUCGCGCGGCUUUCCAGGUUUCCUGCUCCUGCCGAGCAGCCCGCAAAGCCUGGAUAACUUUGCUUUAUGAUUUAAGGGGUUUUCCUGAGCCGGAGGACAUGGUGUCCUCAGCCAGGGCUGUGGUGCAUUUAUCCCAUACGUCCGGAUGGAGAAUUUCUACCGGGCUCUCUAUAGCCCCCAGCUUAAUCAACCUCGGCACUGCGAGAAUAAAAUCCUUAAGCUUACAAUCAAUAUUCCACUGAGCGUGGAUCUCACUUACGACCUUCGCGACAGCUUCCAUGCUCCUCGCUGGUCCAGGGGACGUCACCCUCACUGCACUCGCCAGCGCUGCAGUCGCCGGGUCCUGGUCAGGCGAACCCCAAAAUCCGGGCGGUCGGUUCCCGACGUUUUGUCCCGGGUUUCGGCACCAAUUUGUUGUCUGGUGGCCUGAUUCAGGUCCGGCACGGUGGCCCUAACCCAGGGUCACUCGGUUCAUUAGCUUUAGGACACCAAUGUGGUGGACAGCAAAUGGCGUUUAUUGAGGGGUUACAAGGGUCUUUAUAGCCUAGAUAGUGGUGGUUAUUUUCCCUAGCUUACGUCCGGCUGUGAGCUUAGAUCCGGAGCAGUGGAUUUCUGAGGGGAGAGGGGUUCCUAUCUGUCCUGGGUUGGUGUUUUGACUGAAUUCUCACCCUGCCCCCCCUUGGCCAUGAAGCUGUCUGCUCCCAGGGGAGGGGCCGCCUGGGCUCGACUCUGUGGACUGGCCUUGGUUUUUUUCUUUCUUGCCGUGGCUCGCUUGGCUCUGGCUGCUGCUGCUCGUGGCUUUUCGCUGCUGUGGUAGUAGUUCGUUGCCUGGUUUGUUAGUUAGCUGUUUUUUUCCUUGAUUUUUUGGCUUUAUAUUGCUUGAAUCAUUUGUUUUAGCUCGCUGUUGUUUAAGGCUUGCUGGCUGUUUUUUCUCGCCUUUCUCUCUCUCUCCCUCUCCCUUCCCCCCCCCUCACCUCCCGAGGAUCAGCACCAGCUCGCUCUGGAGGAACCCUGCGGCCUGCCUCUGGACACCGGCCAGAGAAGCAUCUCGUCCUUCCAGUGAAGAUCGAAUCAUCCACGUCUCUCUUUCUCUCUCAGUGAAAAUUUUUUUGUCAUCUGGAUCUGUGCUGGGAAGUGUUUCUCUUGUAUGUGUUAAUAAAUAGGUUUUUUCCACUUUUCCCCCUGAGUAAAAUAUUUUUUUCUUAAGUCCAGUGGGAUAAAAAAUUGGAGGUUUAUUCCCUGGAAAGCUCUUCAGGGGGUUUUUUCCCCUAAAUUUGUCCAAACU